UUGACUCUCAAAUGAGAAUCGUUAUGAUUAUCACAACUGAUCGCGAGAUCAGCCGAUAACUGAAAGGCCAUUGGUUCGGACUCUCAGAUUAUCUCAUCAGGCUAAUCACGGUUAUUUGACCCGGCUCUUGCCGGGUCUUUUUUUG
rnacentral:sRNA from 1 species